AGUGUGAUCCUUCUCUUUGACAGUCACAUCUUGUGUGCCAUUCAGUAGGCAGUCCCACCCAAAUUGCUUAUCGUUCCCAGGAAAAUCAUUGAAUGUUCAAGGCGCUUAUCAUCUUUAUAAUGGAAUACCCAUCAUUCAAGUUAACUGGACAGCACCCAAUACAGGUUUUGGUGAUUUAUGGGGCUAUCAGGUGUAUAUUUCUGGGAAAGAAGGACACCUUGGUCACUACGACUGUGUACAGAUAAACAGAAAGAAGGAAAUAUUGUCCUGGAUCUUUCACAAAACAAUCAGAUAUGGAGCAACAUACCAGAUCACAGUACAGAGUAUACCAUCGCGUUACGAGAAUGACAACAAUUUAGUAAACCAGAGUGUGCAAGUACCAGAGAAGUGUCAAUUUAAAGUGUACAAGAAUUCGUCAGAGUGCUAGACCUUGAACGACUAUUUUGUCAAUGUUGCUGGUUCUAAGGAUUCCACUUUCGAGGACUCCGACGAUCAUCCAAAGCUUAUGGGUUUGACACAGAUGCCAUUAAUCUUAUCAAGUCUUAUUUGCUUGGUCGUCGUCAAAGAGUUCGACUCGACAACAUUUUUUCUGAGUGGAAACCAAUCACAGCUGAUGUACCUCAAGGAUCUUUACCUGGACCCCUCCUAUUCAAUAUUUUUAUCAAUGACUUGAACGAUUUCAUCUCCACUGUGUCUCUCCGCUUAUAUGCUGAUGAUACAACUGGAUACAUUUAAAUUAAACCAUUAACAAGGAACUUAACGCUAUUAUAGAAUGAGUUGCAGUAAACCAUCUAUCAAUAAAUACUGUGAAAACUCAAGCUCUUGUCAUCGGCACAAACACAUAUAAGUACGAACUUUGGUUAGGCGAUACUCCUGUGGAAAUAAAAGACUCUCUAAAGAUACUAGGAGUCAUCAUUGACUCGAACCUGACCUUUGAGGAGCAUUUAAAAACCCAGCUAAAUAAGGCAUAUGCUAAGACAAACGCUUUACGUAGAAAUAGACGUUUUAUUCCAAUACAUGUAAUGAUUCAAUUAUAAAAAGGCUUUUAUUCUUCCUC
rnacentral:misc_RNA from 1 species